rnacentral:rRNA from 1 species
CACGCAGGCGGUCUGUUAAGUCAGAUGUGAAAUCCCCGGGCUUAACCUGGGAACUGCAUUUGAAACUGGCAGGCUUGAGUCUCGUAGAGGGGGGUAGAAUUCCAGGUGUAGCGGUGAAAUGCGUAGAGAUCUGGAGGAAUACCGGUGGCGAAGGCGGCCCCCUGGACGAUGACUGACGUUGAGGCUCGAAAGCGUGGGGAGCAAACAGGAUUAGAUACCCUUGUA